AUUGAACGCUGGCGGCAGGCUUAACACAUGCAAGUCGAGCGGGGGAAGGUAGCUUGCUACUGGACCUAGCGGCGGACGGGUGAGUAAUGCUUAGGAAUCUGCCUAUUAGUGGGGGACAACAUCUCGAAAGGGAUGCUAAUUCCGCAUACGUCCUACGGGAGAAAGCAGGGGAUCUUCGGACCUUGCGCUAAUAGAUGAGCCUAAGUCGGAUUAGCUAGUUGGUGGGGUAAAGGCCUACCAAGGCGACGAUCUGUAGCGGGUCUGAGAGGAUGAUCCGCCACACUGGGACUGAGACACGGCCCAGACUCCUACGGGAGGCGGCAGUGGGGAAUAUUGGACAAUGGGGGGAACCCUGAUCCAGCCAUGCCGCGUGUGUGAAGAAGGCCUUAUGGUUGUAAAGCACUUUAAGCGAGGAGGAGGCUACUUUAGUUAAUACCUAGAGAUAGUGGACGUUACUCGCAGAAUAAGCACCGGCUAACUCUGUGCCAGCCGCCGCGGUAA
rnacentral:rRNA from 1 species